AUUGAACGCUGGCGGCAGGCCUAACACAUGCAAGUCGAGCGGAGCGGCGGACGGGUGAGUGAUGCCUAGGAAUCUGCCUGGUAGUGGGGGAUAACGUACGGAAACGGACGCUGAUACCACCUCCUAUCCGAUGAGCCUAGGUCGGAUUAGCUAGUGGGUGGGGUAAAGGCCUACCAAGCCGACGCUCCGUAACUGUUCUGAUAGGAUGAUCAGUAACACUGGAACUGAGAAACGGCCAAGACUCCUACGGGAGGCAGCAGUGGGGAAUAUUGGACAAUGGGCGAAAGCCUGAUCCAGCCAUGCCGCGUGUGUGAAGAAGGUCUUCGGAUUGUAAAGCACUUUAAGUUGGGAGGCGUUACCAACAGAAUAAGCACCGGCUAACUUCGUGCCAGCAGCCGCGGUAAUUC
rnacentral:rRNA from 1 species